UCACAGAAAUGGAAUUUCUGAAUAGCGUCUUAAAACUGCCAUUUUAAUUAAAAACUAAAUUUCGCUAUAUAUUUUUAAUGAGCUUCUAGAGCAUAACGCCAGGCUUAAUUGAGCUAUAAAUAUAGACACACACGCUGCACUUAUCCCACCAAAUUGGAGUUCAGAUUUAAGUUUUAUUGAUCGCAAACAAGAGCGGAAAUGGCAACUGGUCAAGUUAUGUCUAUUUGCGCUCCCAUGAUUUCCAUCCUCCCCCACCGCCCGAUGAUCGUUGCUGCCGUCGAGCAGCGUGGCCGACGGACGUUCAGGCGAACUCUGCACGUCCGAUCAUGCAGUGGCACUAGUCAUGUGGCUCCCUUGCGGCGGUCGGGGAAUUAUCACCCAAGCCUAUGGACGGACAAGAGUGUGCAAUCCCUCACGAGCACCUCCACAUUGCAAAAAGAAGAGGAACGUGAGAGAAUAAAUGUACUGAA